UACGUAGGUGGCAAGCGUUGUCCGGAUUUACUGGGCGUAAAGAGCGCGCAGGCGGUCGUUCAAGUCGCGUGUGAAAGCCCCCGGCUCAACUGGGGAGGGUCACGCGAUACUGAUCGACUCGAAGGCAGGAGAGGGUAGUGGAAUUCCCGGUGUAGUGGUGAAAUGCGUAGAUAUCGGGAGGAAUACCAGAGGCGAAGGCGGCACCCUGGGUCUGACCUGACACUGAUCCGCGACAGCAUGGGGAGCGAACGGG
rnacentral:rRNA from 1 species